rnacentral:rRNA from 1 species
UACAGAGGUCUCAAGCGUUGUUCGGAUCCAUUGGGCGUAAAGGGUGCGUAGGUGGCGCCGUAAGUCAGGUGUGAAAUUUCGGAGCUUAACUCCGAAACUGCAUUUGAUACUGCGGUGCUUGAGGACUGGAGAGGAGACUGGAAUUCACGGUGUAGCAGUGAAAUGCGUAGAUAUCGUGAGGAAGACCAGUGGCGAAGGCGGGUCUCUGGACAGUUCCUGACACUGAGGCACGAAGGCCAGGGGAGCAAACGGG